GAUGAACGCUGGCGGCGUGCCUAAUACAUGCAAGUCGAACGCUUCACAUCGGUGAAGAGUGGCGAACGGGUGAGUAAUACAUAAGUAACCUGGCAUCUACAGGGGGAUAACUGAUGGAAACGUCAGCUAAGACCGCAUAGGUGUAGAGAUCGCAUGAACUCUAUAUGAAAAGUGCUACGGGACUGGUAGAUGAUGGACUUAUGGCGCAUUAGCUUGUUGGUAGGGUAACGGCCUACCAAGGCGACGAUGCGUAGCCGACCUGAGAGGGUGACCGGCCACACUGGGACUGAGACACGGCCCAGACUCCUACGGGAGGCAGCAGUAGGGAAUUUUCGGCAAUGGGGGAAACCCUGACCGAGCAACGCCGCGUGAAGGAAGAAGUAAUUCGUUAUGUAAACUUCUGUCAUAGAGGAAGAACGGUGGAUAUAGGGAAUGAUAUCCAAGUGACGGUACUCUAUAAGAAAGCCACGG
rnacentral:rRNA from 1 species